UUUAACUAUAUGGGUAAAGAGUUUGAAGGAAUUCAAAAAAUGGGUGUUGUUAUCAGCUUCUUCCUUUGUUAAUUACGGUAUUGGAGUUAAAUAACAACACUUUAUUU
rfam:Beta vulgaris subsp. vulgaris Bvchr5.sca022.con0085.1, whole genome shotgun sequence.